CUCAUUGUGCGCUUUCGGUCUCGUUUGACCGCUGCUUAUCGGUUCAGGCGCAGUUUUGCACGCUAAAGAACCGAAAAAAGCCCUCUUGUUACGACGUGCUUCAAUUUAAAAGAAAUUAUAGUUUGGAAGAUGGGUCAAGACUUAUCCCCGUGGAAAUCAAACAUUACAGUGAUGCUCCAGCAUCUUAUCACCAAUCCUGAGGAAUUCGGCUGCCUCCCAGGGUGACGACAGGUUGUCUUGAUGAUGAUACAUUCAUCUAUCUUAAUGAUGCCCAUUGAUUUGCCCAGGGUUGAACUUGUGGAAAGCCUUGUAAGUGGAGCAGUUUGUUCCUGUGUGCUACUGAAAAGCUUCCAGAGUUGAAAGGUUUUGUUACCAGUAACCUGCUUGUCCACUCAAAGGUCCAGCACCUUCUCUGGAGCCCAAGAAUGAUUUGAGGGAAAAUGUAAGCCAUAUUUCUUCUGCUCCACUCCAGUCUGAAGUUAGAGGUCUAAAGAAAGAACAAAGUAUGUUUAAUGGAAUUUAACUCCUGGAAGACAUCAAAAGGAAUUUUCAAGUCAUUUCUUGUACAAACUAGCAGUUCAGAUUAGCAUAUGAUCAUAUGUCUUUGUAAAUAAAAUGGUUUUUUAAUCUUCACUGUGA